UAUCCGACUGCGUCGAGGCAGUCAGAAACCAGAACAAAUGUUGCCGCUAAGCGAGUUUGAACUUGUAAUUAAUAAAUCAAAUUAGUUUAAAAUACUGGAAAAGAAUGGAGUUAAUUACAUUUUUCUACUUGGUUUAUUACUACCUGAUGUUUAUCUUUAUUUUGUUCAUCAUUCCAGCUUCAUUUAAUAUAUCUCUUGGUUUUCGAAAUCUUUAUAUAAAUUCUCUUUUAAAAGUAUUUGAAUAUGGUAGAAAGAAACAAACGGCAAAAAAUAUUCUUAAUGAGGCUGCAAGUGG
rnacentral:lncRNA from 1 species